rnacentral:rRNA from 1 species
AUUGAACGCUGGCGGCAUGCUUUACACAUGCAAGUCGAACGGUAACAGGUUAAGCUGACGAGUGGCGAACGGGUGAGUAAUGCAUCGGAACGUGCCCGGUCGUGGGGGAUAACGCAGCGAAAGCUGCGCUAAUACCGCAUACGAUCUGAGGAUGAAAGCGGGGGACCGUAAGGCCUCGCGCGAUCGGAGCGGCCGAUGUCAGAUUAGGUAGUUGGUGGGGUAAAGGCUCACCAAGCCGACGAUCUGUAGCUGGUCUGAGAGGACGACCAGCCACACUGGGACUGAGACACGGCCCAGACUCCUACGGGAGGCAGCAGUGGGGAAUUUUGGACAAUGGGCGAAAGCCUGAUCCAGCAAUGCCGCGUGCAGGAAGAAGGCCUUCGGGUUGUAAACUGCUUUUGUACGGAGCGAAAAGGCCCUCUCUAAUACAGGGGGCUCAUGACGGUACCGUAAGAAUAAGCACCGGCUAACUACGUGCCAGCAGCAGCCGCAGUAA